GAGUUUGAUCCUGGCUCAGAACGAACGCUGGCGGCAGGCCUAACACAUGCAAGUCGAACGCCCUAGCAAUAGGGAGUGGCAGACGGGUGAGUAACGCGUGGGAACCUUCCCAGUGGUACGGAAUAGCCCAGGGAAACUUGGAGUAAUACCGUAUAAUACCCGAAAGGGGAAAGAUUUAUCGCCAUUGGAUGGGCCCGCGUUGGAUUAGCUAGUUGGUGAGGUAAUGGCUCACCAAGGCGACGAUCCAUAGCUGGUCUGAGAGGAUGAUCAGCCACACUGGGACUGAGACACGGCCCAGACUCCUACGGGAGGCAGCAGUGGGGAAUAUUGGACAAUGGGCGGAAGCCUGAUCCAGCAAUGCCGCGUGAGUGAUGAAGGCCUUAGGGUUGUAAAGCUCUUUUACCCGGGAUGAUAAUGACAGUACCGGGAGAAUAAGCUCCGGCUAACUCCGUGCCAGCAGCCGCUGUAAG
rnacentral:rRNA from 1 species